rnacentral:misc_RNA from 1 species
AACGCAAGUUGCGCCCCAAGCCUUCUGGCCGAGGGCACGUCUGCCUGGGUGUCACAAAUCAUCGUCCCCCAUCCUCUCGAGGAUAUCGGACGGAAGCUCUCCUCCCGUGUGUUACCGCACACGGUUGGCGAAAAUCCGAGCUAAGGAUGCCAGGAGCGUCUUGACAUGCGGUGGUGAAUUCAAUUCUCGUCAAAUCGUCAGUCGUUUCGGUCCGAAAGCUCUUGAUGACCCAAAGUCCUCAAUGCGAACCCAGGUCAGGCGGGAUCACCCGCUGAAUUUAA